rnacentral:tRNA from 1 species
GAGCGUAGUUUAAUGGUAGAAUAAUGGCCUUCCAAGCUGCAGGCGUGGGUUCGAUUCCCGCCGCUC